rnacentral:rRNA from 1 species
UAGUCCACGCCGUAAACGAUGAGCACUAGGUUUUGGGGGUAUUGAUCCCUUCAGAACCACAGCUAACGCAUUAAGUGCUCCGCCUGGGGAGUACGGUCGCAAGACUAAAACUCAAAGGAAUUGACGGGGGCCCGCACAAGCGGUGGAUUAUGUGGUUUAAUUCGAAGCAACGCGCAGAACCUUACCUGGGCUUGAACUCCUGAGAAGUCGGAGUAAUGUCUGAUGUGCCCUUCGGGGAACUCAGUGAGAGGUGCUGCAUGGCUGUCGUCAGCUCGUGUUGUGAAAUGUUGGGUUAAGUCUCGCAACGAGCGCAACCCCCAUUGUUAGUUGCCAGCACGUAAAGGUGGGGACUCUAACAAGACUGCCCGCGUAAGCGGAGAGGAAGGUGGGGAUGACGUCGAAUCAUCAUGGCCUUUAUGCCCAGGGCGACACACGUGCUACAAUGGUGCAUCAAAGGUAGCCAAGCCGCGAGGUGGAGCGUAAUCCCAUAAAGUGCAUCCCG